rnacentral:lncRNA from 1 species
GACCAACUUUAUUUCUGAAUUUGGACUGACUUAAAGAAGUGGCAUCGCAUUUGAAGGGCACCCAAUCAAUCUGUUACCCUCGCUGCAUGAAAUUGUAUUUGCUCGCCACUUCCUAUCUCGCUGGGCGCAGCUGGGCUGUAAGUCAUUGGUGAUAACAUUCUUUAUUAUGCCGUCCUGUUUAUGAACUGUGCCUGGAAAGAGAUGAUAGAAAUAUGCAGCAAUAUGCAAAGGGAUGGGGGGGAUGGGGGAGCAAAAGCUAGUUGCCAGGGCAACCAUGGGGCUAUUUUGGGCAUCGGAUUUUGCGGAUGAUGAAAACCGUUCUCCUGUGGUGGCUGGGCUCUCCCCUUCCCCUCUCCUGGAGGCCGACAUGGAUGUGGCGGCUUGUGAUUUUAAUACCAAAGAAAGCCGAGGGCGCAGAGGGAGGCAGAGGUGGAUCCCUUUGUCUCUGCCACCUGGCAUUCGAGGGGAUGCUGACGGAGGAGAAGCCAAUCCGCCAGCGGGCUUUGAAAACGGGGCUGUCACGGGAGGAACACGAGAGAGACACUGGUCCUGCAGGGCCUGGCUCUCCGCCUGGACUGGACUGGCUCUCCUCAGGGACCGGAUGUCUCCGCUUUCUGGGUACACAGCUCUCACUGACCUGCUAGCAGGACCCGCUUUGCUCCUGGAGAGUGGCAGAGGUCAGCCCAGAGCCUCAUGGUGAUAUUUCUGCUCCAUUUUCCCCCUCUAUUAUCACAUUUUGGAUCCAUACACCUGUGAAUGGGAGGGGGGAAGAAAUCUCUUUAAUCAGCAGAACGUGGGGGUCAGCCCGCACAGCCAGGUCCCCUGCCCACUGCACUCCCGCCACUCCCCAGCGACGCCUCUAACUUCCCACGUCCGUGGCAGCUCUUCUUUGCAAGGGUUUGGACUUGCCCUUGGUUUCCAAAGCCCUGUUAGGUCUGCUCCCUUUAUUGCCAUCAUUCCCAUCACAGCCACCUCCGCUAAAAGGGAGCCCGCAAAGACUGUUGGUGUGGAUAACAGUGAUCGAAUCAUGAGGACUCUUCUCUAGAAGCGGUUAUAUCAGCAGAACUUAUUGCAGCGUAAGCGCAAAUACUCCUAUGAUUCUCGAUGGUGGGGUUCUCACUGUGGCGUGGUUGACAUUUGGGGCCAAUAGUUCUGUGUCAUGGGAGACUGCCCUGUGCAUCGUGGGAUGUUAGCAGCAUCCCUGGUCCCCGCUCACAUCAUGUCAGUGGCACCCCCUCAGUCAUGACAACCAAUCAUGUGCUCAGAUAUUGCCAAAUGGCCCCUGGGAGGAAAAU